rnacentral:rRNA from 3 species
CACGCCGACCUCAGAUCAGGUAAGACU